CCUUACGGCUCAGUAACACGUGGAUAACCUGCCCUUGGGUCCGGCAUAACCCCGGGAAACUGGGGAUAAUUCCGGAUAACGCAUAUAUGCUGGAAUGCUUUAUGCGUCAAAUGGAUUCGUCUGCCCAAGGAUGGGUCUGCGGCCUAUCAGGUAGUAGUGGGUGUAAUGUACCUACUAGCCAACAACGGGUACGGGUUGUGAGAGCAAGAGCCCGGAGAUGGAUUCUGAGACAUGAAUCCAGGCCCUACGGGGCGCAGCAGGCGCGAAAACUUUACAAUGCGGGAAACCGUGAUAAGGGGACACCGAGUGCCAGCAUCAUAUGCUGGCUGUCCGGGUGUGUAAAAUACACCUGUUAGCAAGGGCCGGGCAAGACCGGUGCCAGCCGCCGCGGUAACACCGGCGGCCCGAGUGGUGAUCGUGAUUAUUGGGUCUAAAGGGUCCGUAGCCGGUUUGGUCAGUCUUCCGGGAAAUCUGAUAGCUUAACUAUUAGGCUUUCGGGGGAUACUGCCAGGCUUGGAACCGGGAGAGGUAAGAGGUACUACAGGGGUAGGAGUGAAAUCUUGUAAUCCCUGUGGGACCACCUGUGGCGAAGGCGUCUUACCAGAACGGGUUCGACGGUGAGGGACGAAAGCUGGGGGCACGAACCGGAUUAGAUACCCGGGUAGUCCCAGCCGUAAACGAUGCUCGCUAGGUGUCAGGCAUGGCGCGACCGUGUCUGGUGCCGCAGGGAAGCCGUGAAGCGAGCCACCUGGGAAGUACGGCCGCAAGGCUGAAACUUAAAGGAAUUGGCGGGGGAGCAC
rnacentral:rRNA from 1 species